GAUGAACGCUGGCGGCGUGCCUAAUACAUGCCAGUCGAGCGAACGGACGAGAAGCUUGCUUCUCUGAUGUUAGCGGCGGACGGGUGAGUAACACGUGGAUAACCUACCUAUAAGACUGGGAUAACUUCGGGAAACCGGAGCUAAUACCGGAUAAUAUUUUGAACCGCAUGGUUCAAAAGUGAAAGACGGUCUUGCUGUCACUUAUAGAUGGAUCCGCGCUGCAUUAGCUAGUUGGUAAGGUAACGGCUUACCAAGGCAACGAUGCAUAGCCGACCUGAGAGGGUGAUCGGCCACACUGGAACUGAGACACGGUCCAGACUCCUACGGGAGGCAGCAGUAGGGAAUCUUCCGCAAUGGGCGAAAGCCUGACGGAGCAACGCCGCGUGAGUGAUGAAGGUCUUCGGAUCGUAAAACUCUGUUAUUGGGGAAGAACAUAUGUGUAAGUAACUGUGCACAUCUUGACGGUACCUAAUCAGAAAGCCACGGCUAACUACGUG
rnacentral:rRNA from 1 species